UACGAGAGGGGUAAGGCAUUAUUCAUCAUUAAUGGGUCUAAAGGGGUACGUAAGGCUGUAUCAUAAGACUGGAAGGUAUCGAACUAAAUGAAAUAAGAGCUUUUCAGUAACUAUGAAACUAGAGUGUAAUGGAGGAAAAGAGGGAAACUCCGAGAGUAGGGAUGGAAUCUGUUGAUCCUCGGAAGACCGCUUAAGGCGAAAGGCUUCUCUCUAACUAAACACUGACGCUGAGGUACGAAAGUAUUGGGGAAGCAAAACGGGAAUUAGAUACCGUGGUAAG
rnacentral:rRNA from 1 species